AAAGAAAAGAAAAAAAUAGCGCCAUUCACUACCAUUUUCCUCUCAAAUCCAAAAACCCUUUUCCAUUCUGUUUGUCUCUCUUUAUCUCUCGACCAUGUUUAACCAAGCCGAAUCCUCCGACUCUCCUAAGUGCUUUCCAUUUCCCAGAUCUACAUUCACUUAUCUAAUCCCUUUGUAUUCCUCGAUUUCAAUUUCUUUUUCAGAACAACGAAUAAAUUUUGUAGCAGCUUUUCGAUUUUUGAGGAUUUAUUUGUUAAAGGAUACUUGAUUUUUCGCAGUAAGGGAACAAGGAGGGAUUUUAGUUCUGUAAUUUUGGAGCGACAGAAGGCACCCAAUUGGCUCAAUUUUUAUGGGGCUACCAAUGAUGAUAACUCAGUUGUGUCACUCCACCCCCAAACCAUGGAGAAGCUCCAACUCUUUCAGCGCGACACGAUCUUAAUUAAGGUUUUCAUUCUUUUUCACUUACAAGUUUGAAUUAUUUUUCUAAGUAGUUGUUGCUGGUUGUUGGAUAUUGAUUACGUAUCUUUAUGCUGAGUUUUAUGUUCGAUCAGGAUUGGGAUUCAGAUUUGUGUUUCAUAUCUAGAGGAUAUUGAUGUACGCAACUGUUUAGAGGGAUUUUUGAAAUCCUUCUUUUUCUUAUAUUUUCAUUGGAAAAUUUAAAAUAUUCACAGUUAUUUUCUUGAUGGUCUCAUAAUAGUUAGUGUGGGUUCCUGGCAGUUUUGAAAUAGGCAUUAUUGCUGCGAGGCUUGGGAAAUUACAUAAAUAUCAUGCAAUUCUCUGUAUUGGAGCUGUGGUAUGAUUUCUCGAUUUCAGAAUUUGGAAAAUCUAGAUGUGGCAAUAAGGUUAGCUCCUCGUCAAGUACAAGCAUUAUGGAAACCCUUAAUUCAUGUAGCUUUUAUGGUUAGUAAAUAAGGGGUGAUACUACCCACUGUGAUGCGGAUACCAAUUCAACAGCAUCUGGAGUACUUUCAACCAGUAUAAAUUCUGGUUGGUAUUAUUGGUUUGUGGUAUUUUUAUUAUUAUUUUAACAAUUUCAUUCUUUGUGCCUUUACAUGAUAUAUUAGCAUUAAAGUACAACUAUUCCAUGUCUCUCACACGUAAAUUUCAGCCAUAUUUUAGCUUAUGAUUGUCAAUUUGCUUGCUUAACCAACUUUUGCUCAUAUAUUUAGUAUAAUCAGGGGCCUCGUUAUUUGUUACAAGCAUAUUCUUGUUUACAAGCACUUUCCAGUUGGCACUAUGAUGAAGAAUGCUGCAUAAGUUAUCAUAAUUAUUUAGUCAAAAUAAUUUGAUAUAAAUUUUUUGAAAAUUAUUAAACAUAGCUUCAUAAUUACCAAGUAUCUCUUAAUUUAUCUCUAUGAGAUUGAGAUCUCUAAAUCUAAUAGGGUAUCAUUCUGCAAUAAAGAUAUUUAAGCUAAGCAGAAAAUAUUUCAUGUUUUUGGACAAUGUAACUUAUGUAAUUCCUAAGUGCCUAUACAUUAAAUAAGAAUUAUGUGGCUGUUAGUCAUUUAAUUUAAUUAAAUUUAAAUUCUCACAAGUGUCUAGAAGAAGGGGACAGAAUGGGAAGAUCACCCCUUUCAAUUUUCAUCGUCCAGUAUGCUACACCAAACACUACGUUCAUUUGUUUGGCAUGGUAAUGGGUAUCGAAGAAAAUAUGAAAUGCAGGACUAAACAUUGUCCAGCAUGUUAUAUUGGUUCUCUUGUUUCGAUUAGAUCAUUUAAAAUUGGAUUCUCAUGUCUAAUUUAAAUCCUUAGUUUGAAUCAGAUGUUAUGUAUAAUGGACAUGGCUUCCCUGUCCAUCUGCAGUUGUGAUUAUGGAUGUUAUGAUUUGUCUGUCAAAUUUGGCUAUUGUUUGCUCAAGCUAUUUCUUAAUUAGAUGAUGACUAUUGAGGUUUAAUUUUGUUUAUUUCAAGAGGUACUUGGUUGAUGUUAUCGAUCCUGAUAAUCUGAGCAUCUCAAAAGUAAACUUUAUGAUUUGUUAAGCAAAACAUCAUUGAUUGGGAUCCCAUAGCUCUGUCAAAGCAGGCUUUGACUGAUGAAAUGGUUUAAAGUCAGUUGUUGACAGAGAAGUUUACUGCUUCAUGAUCUCUUGCAAGAACUCAACCAGCAUAGAUUCUGUUAUUGAUUGGCUUGUAAAGCACUUAAAGUCGAAGAGCUAAGUUGGUUCCCUAUGUAAGAAAGUUCCAUAUGUAGUCAUUACCUGUAUAUAUCUAGUUAGUUCCCUUCAAAUUUGUUUCUUAUAUCCCUGACUGACUAUGUGGUUUUUAAAGCUUUUGCUUUGGGGAUAUUACACUCAAUAAUGGGAGAAUUUAUACUAGAGAACCA